rnacentral:rRNA from 1 species
AAAGUCCGUAACAAGGUCUCCGUUGGUGAACCAGCGGAGGGAUCAUUACUGAGUACUACACUCUCUACCCUUUGUGAACUAUUAUACCUGUUGCUUCGGCGGCGCCCGCAAGGGUGCCCGCCGGUCUCAUCAGAAUCUCUGUUUUCGAACCCGACGAUACUUCUGAGUGUUCUUAGCGAACUGUCAAAACUUUUAACAACGGAUCUCUUGGCUCCAGCAUCGAUGAAGAACGCAGCGAAACGCGAUAUGUAAUGUGAAUUGCAGAAUUCAGUGAAUCAUCGAAUCUUUGAACGCACAUGGCGCCUUCCAGUAUCCUGGGAGGCAUGCCUGUCCGAGCGUCGUUUCAACCCUCGAGCCCCUGUGGCCCGGCGUUGGGGAUCUGCCACGGCAGGCCCCUAAAACCAGUGGCGGACCCGAAGGGCCCUCUCCUUUGCGCAGUAGCAUUCGCCUCGCAUUGGGAGUCCUCGGCGUCCUGCCUCUAAACCCCCCACAAGUCCGCUUCGGCGGCACCAAGGUUGACCUCGGAUCAGGUAGGAAUACCCGCUGAACUUAAGCAUAUCAAUAA